rnacentral:rRNA from 1 species
GAUGAACGCUGGCGGCGUGCCUAAUACAUGCAAGUCGAACGCAUUGUGGUUGAAAUGAUAUGAAGAACUUGUUCAGAUUUGAUUUUCAACAUUGCAAUGAGUGGCGAACGGGUGAGUAACACGUGGGAAACCUACCUCUUAGCAGGGGAUAACAUUUGGAAACAAAUGCUAAUACCGUAUAAUAAUUAAAACCGCAUGGUUUUAGUUUAAAAGAUGGUCUUGCUAUCACUAAGAGAUGGUCCCGCGGUGUAUUAGUUAGUUGGUGAGGUAAUGGCUCACCAAGACAAUGAUACAUAGCCGAGUUGAGAGACUGACCGGCCACAAUGGGACUGAGACACGGCCCAUACUCCUACGGGAGGCAGCAGUAGGGAAUCUUCCACAAUGGACGAAAGUCUGAUGGAGCAACGCCGCGUGUGUGAUGAAGGGUUUCGGCUCGUAAAACACUGUUGUAAGAGAAGAAUGACAUUGAGAGUAACUGUUCAAUGUGUGACGGUAUCUUACCAGAAAGGAACGGCUAAAUACGUGCCAGCAGCCGCGGUAAUACGUAUGUUCCAAGCGUUAUCCGGAUUUAUUGGGCGUAAAGCGAGCGCAGACGGUUAUUUAAGUCUGAAGUGAAAGCCCUCGGCUCAACCGAGGAAUUGCUUUGGAAACUGGAUAACUUGAGUGCAGUAGAGGAAAGUGGAACUCCAUGUGUAGCGGUGAAAUGCGUAGAUAUAUGGAAGAACACCAGUGGCGAAGGCGGCUUUCUGGACUGUAACUGACGUUGAGGCUCGAAAGUGUGGGUAGCAAACAGGAUUAGAUACCCUGGUAGUCCACACUGUAAACGAUGAGUGCUAGUUGUUCGAGGGUUUCCGCCCUUGAGUGACCAAGCUUACGCAUUAAGCACUCCGCCUGGGGAGUAC